rnacentral:lncRNA from 1 species
GAUGCAAAUGGGCUGAAGACAGGGGCCACCAUUAAUGGAACCUGAACAGUGCCUAACCUAACCCCUGUGGAUAUCUGUUGAAUGUUAAAUAAUAGCAGAGAUCAUGUAAUAAGGACACUCAGCUCACUCAGGAGAGAAUAUCAAACAGUCUGGAAUUUUCCUGUUGCUGGCAGCACAGCCCAGGAGCAUCCUGAGGGAACCAGAGUCUUUAUAGCAUCAGUGAAAAGGAACUCUGUCCUCCUUAUCUUCCUGCUUUUCUCAGUUCAGCCCCCAUUCUUAUUCCAUUGGUGCCUGGAGGAAGUCUUGGUUAAAAGCUUUCUGAUGGAGACAUUGAUGAUUAGUUUGGAAAGAGCCAGAGUGAGUGGUCCCGACUCCUCCCCCGCUUCCAGGAUGUGCAGGGCUGCACCCAGAACAGAUGCCUUCCUUUGGACAAGGGUCUCAACACCUCUGGGGGCACUGCUGGUCUUGAGAUUCACUCCUUUUCUCAUGUUUGGUCCACUCAGUGUCAGAUGUUUUGCUAGGUGA